rnacentral:rRNA from 1 species
UACAGAGGUCUCAAGCGUUGUUCGGAUUCACUGGGUUUAAAGGGUGCGUAGGCGGACAGAUAAGUCAGUGGUGAAGUCUCCGAGCUUAACUCGGAAACUGCCGUUGAUACUAUUUGUCUUGAAUACUGUGGAGGUAAGCGGAAUAUGUCAUGUAGCGGUGAAAUGCUUAGAUAUGACAUAGAACACCAAUUGCGAAGGCAGCUUACUACACAGUUAUUGACGCUGAGGCACGAAAGCGUGGGGAUCAAACAGG